GUUAAGAUAGCAAAAACUGGUCACUGCAUAAAACUUAAGCUUUUACUCACGGAGGUUCAACUCCUCUUCUUAACA
rnacentral:tRNA from 1 species